GACGAACGCUGGCGGCGUGCCUAACACAUGCAAGUCGAACGAGGUCCAUCCUUCGGGAGAAGACCUAGUGGCGAACGGGUGAGUAACACGUGAGGAACCUGCCCCGGAGACCGGGAUAACCACUCGAAAGAGUGGCUAAUACCGGAUGCCCCCAUCCUGCCGCAUGACGGGAUGAGGAAAUGGAUUCCGCUCCGGGAGGGCCUCGCGGCCUAUCAGCUAGUUGGUGAGGUAACGGCUCACCAAGGCAUCGACGGGUAGCUGGUCUGAGAGGACGAUCAGCCACACUGGGACUGAGACACGGCCCAGACUCCUACGGGAGGCAGCAGUGGGGAAUCUUGCGCAAUGGGCGAAAGCCUGACGCAGCAACGCCGCGUGGGGGAUGAAGGCUCUCGGGUUGUAAACCCCUUUCAGCAGGGACGAAAAUGACGGUACCUGCAGAAGAAGCUCCGGCUAACUACGUGCCAGCCGCCGCCGUAACAC
rnacentral:rRNA from 1 species